UGUAUGCAUUAUAUUGCUUUGUUAUUUUCCCUUAUUCAUCCAUCAUAAUGUAAUAUUAAAAUUGUGGCUGAAUAUUUUAGACCAUUGUUUUAAUACCACAAAUUGUGUCUCUUCAUUUUCAGGGUGCCCUUUGGAGGAGCCAGUGGACUUUGUGCAAGGGAGGUGCCGUGGGGAUCAAGAUGAGGCCGCUCCUGGACAGACUGAGUCAGAAACAGAGCAUUGAGAUGAGGCGUGAAACCUUAUACUGUACCUUGGCGAGAAGGAAGAGGAACUUUUUGAAGACUGCUUGGAGGACAGCCGGAGUGAUGUCAGUAACCACAUCCUCAAAAUACUCGUCGUCCACGGUACUGAUGAGGAUCCAGUUGAUGUCUCCAUCCUUGUGGAAGGCCAUGAGAUUUUGCCAGG